rnacentral:rRNA from 1 species
AAUAUUGCACAAUGGGGGGAACCCUGACGCAGCAACGCCGCGUGAGCGAGGAAGGCCUUCGGGUCGUAAAGCUCUGUCUAGAGGGAUGAUAGUGACAGUACCUCUGGAGGAAGCCCCGGCUAACUACGUGCCAGCAGCCGCGGUAAUACGUAGGGGGACAGCGUUGUCCGGAUUUACUGGGCGGAAAGGGCGCGUAGGCGGGAGGAUAAGUCAGAUGUGAAAGUCAAGGGCUCAACCGUGGAAUUGCAUUUGAAACUGUGCUACUUGAGUGCAGGAGAGGAGAGCGGAAUUCCUAGUGUAGCGGUGAAAUGCGUAGAGAUUAGGAAGAACACCAGUGGCGAAGGCGGCUCUCUGGACUGUAACUGACGCUGAGGCGCGAAAGCGUGGGUAGCGAACA